GCUUUUUCCCCCUUUACCAGCCUCUCAUUCUUCAUUUCUUUCUCUGGGAUGGAUUUGCAGAGAACCUGCACUAAAAACCAACCAGUGUCACGUCCUGGAGCUGGCUGUAGGAGCCUCUAAGCCCCUUCACUUGAGAAACCUCUUUUGGGCUCCUACAGGAGGGAAAAUCAGCAGUUUGUGGAGGUGAGGAUGAAGCAAGGAGCUCUGAGCAGCCAAACCCUGCAGAAGGUCCUGGGGAGGGGGGGAUGUCUGCUGCUCCUGUGGGCUGGUGCUGGUUGCUCUGAGCUGUACAGGAGGGGUGAUUUGCCCUGCUGGGGGGUGGGUAGUGGUCAGCAGUCCUUCUCCAUUGCUCAGGCCCUGUAGGUGGCUGCUGUGGAGCUGCCAAGGGGGAAGAGGACAGCAUGCUGAGCAUUGCUAGAGCCUUUGCAGGCCUCCGAAAUGUGGCGGCUAUUCAGAGCCGUGUCUGAAUUGAAGCCUUUGUAGUCAUUGCAGUGCCUGAUGAUAUGCCAGGGCUUCUAAUAGGGCAUGUUGUUUUGGAUGGAAAUAGGUCAUUGUGGAAGAAACUUCUGUUAUACUUGGUAUCUUGCUUCUCUUCGGAGCCGCAAGGGUCAGAUAGGUCAUUUUGGAAGAUGUGAGACUCCUGAGCAUCAAAGGUUGGAGCCUUCCCCUCUACCCCCAGCCCGGCUCACAGCGCUGCCGUGUGCCCAUGAGGUAAGUGAUUCUGCCUGGCAGCUGGCUUCACACACCAAGGGAAAAUAAACACAGGGAAUUACUCCUGGCUCCUUCUCUCUGGUGCUACACUUGGGCUGGUUCCACCGUGGCACGUGAAUAAAGUGUAAGGCUGGCUGCUGUCGGAUCGCUAG
rnacentral:lncRNA from 1 species